GACGAACGCUGGCGGCGUGCUUAACACAUGCAAGUGGAGCGACGAACCGGGGCUUGCCCCGGGGCAGAGCCGCGAACGGGUGAGUAACACGUGGGUAACCUGCCUCAAUGAUUGGGACAACCCGGGGAAACUCGGGCUAAUACCAAAUGUGUUCACUCCUUUUAAGGGGAGUGAGGAAAGGAAGCUUCGGCCUCCGCAUUGAGAUGGGCCCGCGGCCCAUUAGCUUGUUGGUGAGGUAACGGCUCACCAAGGCUUCGAUGGUAGCUGGUCUGAGAGGACGAUCAGCCACACUGGGACUGAGACACGGCCCAGACUCCUACGGGAGGCAGCAGUGGGAAUCUUGCACAAUGCGCGAAAGCGUGAUGCAGCAACGCCGC
rnacentral:rRNA from 1 species